rnacentral:misc_RNA from 1 species
AAGAUAGCAUCGCUCACCUUUCACACUACAGAAUAGCUUGCUUUGCGAUGUCGUUCAGUACCAAGUUCGCGAUGUGGUGGGGGAGUGUUACCACCAAGACCGAAAAGCUCUUCAACAAGGAAAAGGAACGUCUGGUCACCCACGAGUACUACGACAACCCGAACCCAAAGUAUGCUCGGCCGAAGAGCAUCCACUCGAUUCGCGGUAGCAUGCGAGCAUCGGCAAGCUUACAAAACAGUAAUGGCAAUGCGAAACGCUCCAGGUCGUUUCGCCAGCAGGAGGCAAACGAGUCGGGGAAUGAUGCAGAUCAGAUGCCGAUGGGCAGCGACCCGGGAUACGGCGGCGUGCGGCAGGCUCCGUACACGCAAAACUACAACGAUAUGCAGCAGUACCCGCAGGGUCAACAGUACACGCCAGGCCCGCAGUAUAUACACCAGCAGCAUCAGGGGCAUUCAAAUCGAGGGUAUGGUCAAGUCUACUAGCGGACGGAGUGCGCUCGCGGAAAAGAGACUCAUUCAUACUUUUUUUUUACAUUGCUUCCUUUAUUGUGCAUUUUGCUUCAGCUUUUGGAACUCAUUGUUGGUACCGUUUACGCGCUGGAGUUGUAGUUUUAUUGCUUGUGCUUGCCUGCGCCCAAUCGAGGUUGGGCAUGCAGCUGUCUCACUUUGCUUUCUCUUUUUACGCUUUCUUGUGCUCUCUGUUCUCCCCUCAUCUUUCUUCCUCUUUUUUUCGUCCCUCUGUGAAAACUUACUCUUCAUACAUUAUGAGGUUAGUGCUACCUAUCCUGCUUUUUUUUUAGGACUGUCUCCGUCACCCUUAUUGCCCAUCUGCAUGCAUGCGUGAUGGUUCUUUGUGUAUUGUGCAAAGGUGAGCACCAUUAGGUCUUUCUACGCAAUCCAUGUGAUAACCUACGUAGGCCACUUCGCCGGCAGCCAUUAGGUGCAAAAGAACCGGGAUGAACUGUACUGGAUGGGCGAAGCAGUACCUUCACGAAGCUGCUCACGGCUGUGGCAAGUAACCGUUGCAUGCUGAGCGUUUUUUUUUCGUUGACGUGAGUGUAUAUAUAUAUAUAUAUAUAUAUAUAUAUAUAUUCUUUUGUCACCUUCUCCUUUUUAUGCGGUCUACCUCCUUUGGGUUGUGAAAAAAAAAAAAUCUAUGUGUAUAUCUCUUGAUAAAAAAAAAGAUAUGGUAAUAGAAGGAUGACAAAAGUGCACGCUCUGGCCAUCAGUGUUGCCCGUGACUUCUACCCCAAGCGAAGAACUGUACCGGUGGGCGAACUCGUGGCAGCUCAUUG